UCAUUUUUCUAUCAGCAAGUGAUGCCGGGUGAAUAACUUAUUUACAUGCCAAUGUGGAGGCCUGAAAUGGCCCGGGAUGGGAAAAACGCAGCGCCUCUGUUAUCAACAAUGAUAGCAGCAGCUCCUGGGAGCCACCCCGGGAGGAGGGCCCUAACGAGGCCGGGCGGCAGCGCGGAAUGGCAAUGGGUUUUUAAUUGGUGACACAUUAUAUUUAUCAAGCUGACAGCGGAGGGGCAGAGCAGCAACCUCCUCGCUGUGUGUUUGCCUUCCACGACUUCCUUUGAACCCAUUCACGUGUGAAAAGAAUGGAUGGAGGGAGAGCCUGGGGAGCAAAGGGAGCCCUCCCAGCCUGGGAAAGCCUGAUUGAUGGAGCCUCUCCCGCGCCGGGCGUCUGUGGCUCCGGGCCUUUGGCAUUCGCUGACAUUUUCGCCGAAGCGACCGUGAAAGGGCAGAUUUUCCUGGAAACGGAGCCGCGGCGGGGAAAACGCGCGGAGCCGCCUGCCCUGCCUGCUCCCCGGGGCCGGGCAGGGACCUGGAGCACCCCUGAUGGGAGAGGGUGCAGCGAGGGGGGCCCAUCCCAGCUCCUCUUCCACCAGGAGGGCCCAUCCUAAAUCCUUCUCCAUCAUCCCAGCUCCUCUUCCACCAGGAGGGCCCAUCCCAGCUCCUCUUCCAUCACCCCAGCUCCUUCUCCAUCACCCCAGCUCCUUCUCCAUCACCCCAGCUCCUUUUCCACCAGGAGGCCAAUCCCAGCUCUUUUUGAAAAGUAAUAUUUAUAUUACUUACUGGUUACUUACUUAUAUUACUUACUUAUUACUUACUGGUGCCAUCCAGCAAUGGGAAUGAUCCCACUAAAUCUGGGAUUCUGGAAUGAUUCCCAACUGGAAUGAUCCCAUUCAAUCUGGAAUGAUUCCCAGCUGGAAUGAUCCCAUUCAAUCUGGAAUUCUGGAAUUAUACCCAACUGGAGUGAUCCCAUUAAAUCUGGAAUUCUGGAAUUACUCCCAACUGGAAUGAUCCCAUUCAAUCUGGAAUGAUUCCCAGCUGGAAUGUUCCCAUUCAAUCUGGAAUUCCUGAUUUCUGAUCCCUGUUCUCCCCACUCGUCCUGACAGGACUCACAGGGAAAAGCAAUCUGGCCCGAGGAUAUUCUCAGGG